GUCUCACAUAUUUUUGCUGAUGGGAUUUCUUUUGCUUCAGCCGAAUAUUGAAUGUUGAUUUUCUUCACUGUGGCUGUGGGUGGAGACUUCAGGUUCUAAUUCUACUGAAUUGUUGUGAUUCAAGGGAGGUUGAUUUCCUUUAUUUUUGCAGCUAAGAGAUACAUUAGGUGGAUUACUGGAGUAGAGAUUCUUGGGAGACAGAAGUUACAAAUUAUUUUUGUGGAACUGAGGAUUUUAUUAUUAUUUUAUGACAUUAAACUUUGUAUUGGAGAAUAAUUUUUGAGGAUGUUUUGUA